rnacentral:rRNA from 1 species
UACAGAGGUCCCAAGCGUUGUUCGGAUUCAUUGGGCGUAAAGGGUGCGUAGGCGGCGCGGUAAGUCGGGUGUGAAAUCUCGGAGCUUAACUCCGAAACUGCAUUCGAUACUGCCGUGCUUGAGGACUGGAGAGGAGACUGGAAUUUACGGUGUUGCGGUGAAAUGCGUAGAUAUCGUAAGGAAGACCAGUGGCGAAGGCGGGUCUCUGGACAGUUCCUGACGCUGAGGCACGAAGGCCAGGGGAGCAAACGGG